rnacentral:rRNA from 1 species
AAAACAUUUCUUUUUGAUUAAAAUAAUAAGUAUUUUCUGCCCAAUGAUUUAUUAAAUGGCUGCAGUAUAUUGACUGUACAAAGGUAGCAUAAUCAAUUGUAUUUUAAUUGAAUUCUAGAAUGAAUGAGAGGAUGAAAUUUAUACUUUAUUAAAUAAAAAAUUUGAAUUUUAUUUAAAAGUUAAAAAGCUUUUAUAAAUUUAAGGGACGAGAAGACCCUAUAGAAUUUUAUAUAUUAAAAAUUUAUUUAUAAAUUUAUUUUAUAAUAUAUUUAUUUGGGAGGAAUUUUAAAUUGAAUUAACUUUUAAAAUUAUUUUACAUUAAUAAAUGUUUUUUAGAUUAAUAAAAUUUAAAUUAAAUUACCUUAGGGAUAACAGCGUAAUGUUUUUUUAUAGUUCUUAUUGAAAAUAACGUUU